rnacentral:rRNA from 1 species
AUACGUAGGGUGCGAGCGUUGUCCGGAAUUACUGGGCGUAAAGAGCUCGUAGGUGGUUUGUCGCGUCGUCUGUGAAAUUCCGGGGCUUAACUCCGGGCGUGCAGGCGAUACGGGCAUAACUUGAGUACUGUAGGGGAGACUGGAAUUCCUGGUGUAGCGGUGAAAUGCGCAGAUAUUAGGAGGAACACCGGUGGCGAAGGCGGGUCUCUGGGCAGUAACUUACGCUGAGGAGCGAAAGCAUGGGUAGCGAACAGGAUUAGAUACCCUGGUGGUCCAUGCCGUAAACGGUGGGCGCUAGGUGUAGGGGGCUUCCUCGACUUCUGUGCCGUAGCUAACGCAUUAAGCGCCCCGCCUGGGGAGUACGGCCGCAAGGCUAAAACUCAAAUGAAUUGACGGGG